AUGCAGGCUGAUGUUGGCGGCAGCACAGAAAUGAGUGGAUUGCCCAUUGUUACUCGGAUUUUUAGUGUACCACAAACUCCUCAACUAACUCCAAGCAAAAGCCAACCUGCAACCCAUGGAACAACUGCAUCAUUGGUGCCUGUAGAUAUCACAGAACUGAGAUUGCUGCUCUCAGUCCACAGCAAGCAAAUCCACACACACAACGCGUUCCACCUCAGAGGCCUACCACGCUUUACCCUUUACCACCUAGGCAAGAGUAAUGGAAAUCUCAAGUGAAUUGACCACUGCUCCAAGUCAGCCAGAACCAUCCUAUGAAGUUGCACCACAAGAUAUUGGAUUACAUUAUGCUAUUAAAAGCUUUUCAUAUCUCAUCAUGUGUUAUAGUUUGUAGACCUUACACCUUAGAUCAGUGUUUCCCAACUCUCGUUCUCAAGUACACCCAAAAUCACUCAUGCAUUGUAGUCCCGGACAAAAACACCAGACAGGCAACAACUGCUGCAGGUAAAAUAGGAUGGUUUGGCAAUGGUCAGGUCACGGAUUCUAUUCUAUACUUCUGACCACAUCUAAUGAUAACAACCACACAACUACUGAUCACUACCACACAACUUCAGACCACACAACUACUGACCUCACAACAAGUGAUCACAACACUAGACCAACACCACACAACUACGGACCACAAGAACUGACCACAACACAACUUCUGACCACACAAAUACUGAACUGACCACAUCCACACACUUGCUGACCACACCUAGUUAAUUUUUUUAUUUCACCUUUAUUUAACCAGGUAGGCUAGUUGAGAACAAGUUCUCAUUUGCAACUGCAACCUGGCCAAAGCAGUUCGACAGAUACAACACAGAGUUACACAUGGAAUAAACAAACAUACAAUCAAUGUGCGCAAAUUAGGUAAGAUUAGGGAGGUAAGGCAAUAAAUAGGCCAUAGUUGUGAAGUAAUUACAAUUUAGCAAUUAAACAUUGGAGUGAUAGAUGUGUAGAAGUUCAAUGUGCAAGUAGAGAUACUGAGGUGCAAAGGAGCAAAAAAAUAAAUAACAAUAUGGGGAUGAGGUAGUUGGAUGGGCUAUUUACAGAUGGGAUAUGUACUGGCGCAAUGAUAUGAGAGCUGCUUGGAAAGCUGAUGUUUAAAGUUUGUGAGGGAGAUACAGUAUGAGUCUCCAGCUUCAGUGAUUUUUGCAAUUCAUUACAGUCAUUGGCAGCAGAGAACUGGAAGGAAAGGCAGCCAAAUGAGCAAUAGGCUUUGGGGGGGAGCAGUGAAAUAUACCUGCUGGAGUGUGUGCUACGGGUGGGUGCUGCUAUGGUGAGCUGAGAUAAGGCGGUGCUUUAACUAGCAAAGACUUAUAGAUCACCUGGAGCCAGUGGGUUUGCCGACGAGUAUGAAGCGAGGGCCAGCCAACGAGAGCGUACAGGUUGCAGUGGUGGGUAGUGUAUGGGGCUUUGGUGACAAAACGGAAGGCACUGUGAUAGACUGCAUCCAAUUUGUUGAGUAGAGUGUUGGAGGCUAAUUUGUAAAUUACAUCGCCGAAGUCGAGGAUCGGUAGGAUGGUCAGUUUUACGAGGGUAUGUUUGGCAGCAUGAGUGAAGGAUGCUUUGUUCCGAAAUAGGAAGCCGAUUCUAGAUUUAAUUUUGGAUUGGAGAUGUUUAAUGUCUGGAAUGUCUGGAGUCUGGAAGGAGAGUUUACAGUCUGAUCAGACACCUAGGUAUUUGUAGUUGUCCACAUAUUCUAAGUAAGAACCGUCCAGAGUAGUGAUGCUUGACGGGCGGUCAGGUGCUGGCAGCGAUCGGUUGAAGAGCAUGCAUUUAGUUUUACUUGCAUUUAAGAGCAGUUGGAGGCCACGGAAGGAGAGUUGUAUGGCAUUGAAGCUCAUCUGGAGGUUAGUUAACACAGUGUCCAAGGAAGGGCCAGAGGUAUACACAAUGGUGUCAUCUUCGUAGAGGUGGAUAAAAUAAUCACCAGCAGCAAGAGUGACAUCAUUGAUGUAUACAGAGAAGAGAGUCGGCCUGAGAUUUGAACCCUGUGGCACCCCCAUAGAGACUGCAAGAGGUCCGGACAACAGGCCUUCCGAUUUGACACACUGAACUCUAUCAGAGAAGUUGUGACCAUCUAGUGACCACAACCACACAACUACUGACCAUAACCACAAAACACCUGACCACAUCUAGUGACUACAAUAACACAUCUUGUGAACACAACGACACACCUACAGACCAAAACAUACAACUUCUGACAGCACAACUCUUGACCACUCAACUGCUGACCACAACUGUUGGUCACAACCAUACAACUUCUGACCACAACCACACAACUAUAUUGACCACAACCACAUAACUUCUGACCACAUCUAGUGAACACAACUACACAACUACAAAACCACUGACAAAAACAACACAU
rnacentral:lncRNA from 13 species